CAUUCAGUAGCCCCGCUACUCGUUUAUACCCUUGUUUUUUGCGUACUAUUGUUUCCUCGGCGGGCUUGCCUGCUGGUUGGACAAAACUAUAACCUUUGUAAAUCUUCAAUCAGCGUCUGAAUUAUACAUAAUAAUUA
rnacentral:misc_RNA from 1 species